CCACGAGAUCCGUGCCGCAGCUAACGCAUUAAGUUCCCCGCCUGGGGAGUACGGCCGCAAGGCUAAAACUCAAAGGAAUUGACGGGGGCCCGCACAAGCGGCGGAGCAUGCGGAUUAAUUCGAUGCAACGCGAAGAACCUUACCAAGGCUUGACAUAUGCGAGAACGCGGCAGAGAUGUCGUUCUCUUUGGACACUCGCAUACAGGUGGUGCAUGGUUGUCGUCAGCUCGUGUCGUGAGAUGUUGGGUUAAGUCCCGCAACGAGCGCAACCCUCGUUCUAUGUUGCCAGCACGUGAUGGUGGGGACUCAUAGGAGACUGCCGGGGUCAACUCGGAGGAAGGUGGGGAUGACGUCAAAUCAUCAUGCCCCUUAUGUCUUGGGCUUCACGCAUGCUACAAUGGCCGGUACAAAGGGCUGCGAUACCGCGAGGUGGAGCGAAUCCCAAAAAACCGGUCUCAGUUCGGAUUGGGGUCUGCAACUCGACCCCAUGAAGUCGGAGUCGCUAGUAAUCGCAGAUCAGCAACGCUGCGGUGAAUACGUUCCCGGGCCUUGUACACACCGCCCGUCAAGUCACGAAAGUCGGUAACACCCGA
rnacentral:rRNA from 1 species